rnacentral:rRNA from 1 species
UACGGAGGAUGCGAGCGUUAUCCGGAUUUAUUGGGUUUAAAGGGUGCGUAGGCGGAUCGUUAAGUCAGUGGUCCAAUUGAGGGGCUCAACCCCUUCCCGCCAUUGAAACUGGCGCUCUUGAGUGGAAGAGAAGCAUGCGGAAUGCGUGGUGUAGCGGUGAAAUGCAUAGAUAUCACGCAGAACCCCGAUUGCGAAGGCAGCAUGCCGGCUUCCGACUGACGCUGAAGCACGAAAGCGUGGGGAUCGAACAGG